UGGGGAAUAUUGGACAAUGGGCGAAAGCCUGAUCCAGCCAUGCCGCGUGUGUGAAGAAGGCCUUUUGGUUGUAAAGCACUUUAAGUGGGGAGGAAAAGCUUGUGGUUAAUACCCAUAAGCCCUGACGUUACCCACAGAAUAAGCACCGGCUAGCUCUGUGCCAGCAGCCGCGGUAAUACAGAGGGUGCAAGCGUUAAUCGGAAUUACUGGGCGUAAAGCGCGCGUAGGUGGUUAUUUAAGUCAGAUGUGAAAGCCCCGGGCUUAACCUGGGAACUGCAUCUGAUACUGGAUAACUAGAGUAGGUGAGAGGGGAGUAGAAUUCCAGGUGUAGCGGUGAAAUGCGUAGAGAUCUGGAGGAAUACCGAUGGCGAAGGCAGCUCCCUGGCAUCAUACUGACACUGAGGUGCGAAAGCGUGGGUAGCAAACAGGAUUAGAUACCCUGGUAGUCCACGCCGUAAACGAUGUCUACCAGUCGUUGGGUCUUUUAAAGACUUAGUGACGCAGUUAACGCAAUAAGUAGACCGCCUGGGGAGUACGGCCGCAAGGUUA
rnacentral:rRNA from 1 species